rnacentral:lncRNA from 1 species
UUAGGAUGUUCUUGAAAUGUGAAAUCUAAAUAAAUAUGUAUACAAAUUUGGUAUCUCUUUUCGUGGCAGCUCUCCUUGGCUGAGAUUUCUGGAUCCCCUGUGGGAUCUACUGAACUCAGUAUCACACGUAACUUAGCUUUGUUUGAUUCAACCUGCCACACAGUUCACCAGCCUGGAUCUUGUUGAUGUAGCUCAUUAUCCAUAAAUCACUACCUGCAUUGUCUAAUUUAAGAUCCAGGGUAACUGCAUACUUGUGUUUUGUUGUUGUUUCUUUUUUUGGGGGGAGAGGAAUUUACAUGAAAGCAGAACAGAGAGUACCAUGAUUAUACACUAAAUAGAAUAAGAGAACAGAGUAUCAUUACUUUUUAUUCUCUCAUUCUUUUCCUCUCAACAGAUUACCCACAAAGUACUGUUCACUGAUUUUGUCUCCUUACCAACAUUACAAAAUUAUGUGUUUUAUUUAAAUAUGCCACCAGCAAAUCAUCUGAGCAUUCCGCUUGAAUUAACACCAGGUUUAUACACACAAAAAGAAUAAUGAAUGGAUGGUUCAAAUAAAGAAGGUGUGCAUACGUGUUUUGCUAGGGUCUCUGAAAUUAACCUGAAGUAGCCUGGAUCUCUGUUUCAAAGUGUUAAUUACAGUGCCAGGGCAUUUCUAUUUUUUUUCUUCUUUUUGUGGAGGUUUUGAUGUUUUCUCCAAUAAGGACAACUAUCUAGAUUGCUUUAAGUGAAUGUUCUUAAAAGCUGCUGGCAAAGAUAGACAAAUCUAGAAAGCCUUGAUGUUGCAUAAACAAUAUUAUUUUCAUUACAUGUAUUUCUACACAUUCCCAUGAAAAAUUAAAUUUUGGCUCCUUCUGAGAGCCAAAGGUGAGUGUGUGUGAAGUGAGGGAGAUUUAUAUGAAAGGACACAAUGCAAAAGAUGAAAAUAAUUCUAUCCUCUUUCCCUUAGACAAAUGGUUUGGGUUUAACUGCCCUUGUUUUUGUUGGAUGUGAAUAUGUUAAUCUUCUUUUUCAAAACAUACAGACUUACGGAAAUGGAAGUGAACAUCUGUUCAACUGUCAAGUCACCAGCUAAAUUCAAGUCUGAGAAAAGAAGACAAUCUGUUUAAAUGAAACUUUGUGUGAAUGAAGGCCAGAGUUUUUGGCACUUGUGUUUGCAAAAAAAAAAAAAAAGAAAAAAAUUUUAAACAAUUGUUACUAAAAAAAAAAAUCUUUUUCUAGGAUGACCUUUGUUUGUUUAAACUGUUGGAAAAUCAAUAUUUAAAAUGAAAUCUAGAAACUGAAGUGUGCCCUCUGCAGGAUCACCAGAAUGAUGGGAAAACUGAACACAAUCAACUCAUGAACUCCCCAAGGUCAGAGGUUUGGUCUAAUUCAAUAACUAAUAUCUAGAAGGUAUUCUAGAAAAAUGCAUGUUAACAGAGUGAGCAAAAGUAACAGUCAAAGAAACCCAGGAAUCACAUUUCAUGCCUAUAUUAGUCUGUUCUCACACUGCUAGUAAAGACAUAACUGAGACUGGGUAAUUUAUAAAGGAAAGAUGUGUAAUUAAUUCAUAGUUCCACAUGGCUGGGGAGGCCUCAUCAUCAUGGCAGAAGGCAAAAAUGAAGCAAGACACGUCUUACAUGGCAGCAGGCAAGACAGCGUGUGCAGGGGAACUGCCCUUUAUAAAACCAUCACAUCUCAUGAGACUUACUAUCACAAAAACAGCAUGGAAAAACUCCCUCCCAUGAGUCAGUUACCUCCCACCAGAUCCCGCCCAUGACACAUGAGGAUUAUGGGGGCUACAAUUCAAGAUGAGAUUUGGGUGCAGACACAGCCAAAUCAUAUCAUAUCCUCUGUUUUCCAAAGAUCUUAUAUAAUUUAGUUCUACUUUAGAAAAAUUAAUCCAAUGAUAGUUGGCAGUAUAUACAGUUGUGUAAAAGAUGGGUAAUUUUUUGCAUACUCGUAAGAGUUCAGAAAAUUAAGAUAUAAGCUAUUGGUUAAGAGAGGGAAUAGCCUCUCUCAUUAUGACAAAAAUUAAUAGUUGAUUAUUUUUUUCAUAUAUGAUAAAAAUCUUAGUCCAUAUGUGUUUCAAUUUAAAAGACAUGAGAAGAUAAUAUGAUUUUUCCUCCAAAGUUGACUGGUUGGCUAUUAGACUGCAAAUCUCAUAAUAUAAUUACCUUGGUGGAAACAUAGUAAUUUAAAUAUUGGACAUUAGAUUUGCAGGUGCAGGAAAUCAAUUGUGUCAAUAUACAAAAAUUUUAUUAUACUAUUACAAUGAUUCACACUAAAAAUAUUUGGCGGGGAUUGAUAUAUAAAUAUACAUGGCAAUGUAUUAAUUUAUAAUGGUGGUGAUUUCUCUAACUACCUUCACCCCAGCUAUAUAUCAUAUAGUCAUAGUUGGAAACCACCGAGGAGGGUCACUCCAGCUGAGAGAGUCAAACUGUCAAGUCCCUACACUCUGACAUCACCCUGCUCAAAAGGGUUCUCCAUCUGCCGUUGCUCUCUUUUCUAUCGGUCAAUGCCUCAUGUAUAAGGAAACAUGAUCUUCUAUCAUUUACUGUACUGUUCUUCUCAAUGUUCUGCACUUGCUUUUUUUGGACUCAGCUGUCUACCAUAUCCUCAUCUUCAAAACUUUCCCACAGUAUUUUCUAGAACUAUCCAUCUAGAAUAAUAAUAAUAAUAAUAAAACCUAUCUUCAACUUCUACAUUGCCUGCCAUAAGUGAAACUUGACUCAUCUGAAGAUAUCACCUGUACUGUUUCCCUCUUAAUGCUGGUUGCUUAUUUUCGGACACACACACACACCCCUGGAUGGUGAGGUGGUAUUUCUGAACUCCCUAAACUGCAGUGGCACUUCUAGCAAUGAGACACCAUUCUCUUGUAAAACUAACAAAAAACACAUGCACAUACUGUAUUGGUUUGUUUUCAAAUUGCUAUAAAGAAAUACCUGAGACUGGGUAAUUUAUUAAAAAAAAAAAAAGAGGUUUCAUUGGCUCACGGUUCUGUAGCCUGUAUAGGAAGCACAGCAGCUUUUGCUUCUAGGGAGGCCUCAGGAAACUUACAAUCAUGGUGGAAAGCAAAGCGGAAGCAGGCACAUCUUAUAUGGCUGGAGUAGGAGCAAGGUGGUACAGAUGGAGCCACAUACAUGUAAACAGCCAGAUCUCUUGAGAACUCAUUCACCAUACAGUACCAAGAAGGGAUGGUGCUAAACCAUUCAUGAGAACUCUGCCUCCAUGAUCCAGUCCCCACGUCCAAAAAUUUGACUUAAGAUUUGGUGGGACACUAAUCCAACUCACCUACACACACACACACACACUCUCACACUAAACACAUUUGAGAUUCAUUUGAGAUUCAUGAAAUUUCACUAUACAAUUCCAACUGCUUUCUUACUGCUAUCAUCUAACUUCUGGUAAUUGGUUCACUAACAUAUCUUCAUCCAAAUUCUGUCACUGCCAUCCUUCAUGACGUAUGAACCCUCUAUGCUUAACAUACUUGUCUCCGAAGAAUCUGUCCUCUGCCCUGUCGUACAUCCGUAUCUCUCACACUAUGAAUUUUGUUAUAAAUGCAGAUUAUCUCUACUACAGAAUUGCUAAUUCAGUUAUUACACUCUCUGAGUACAACUUGCUUUCCUAGCUAUGGUCAUUUCUGUACUUCAGUGAGAGUCCCAGUUCAUGGCAUUUCCAAAUUCGUAGAGUUCUUUAGGCGUCUCAUUUUUGUUAUCAACAUUACUUUCUAAUCAUAAAUCUUGUUCAGAAUUUCUUGUUAACAACUUCUUUUCAUCAUUAUAUCAAAAGUGUCAAUUCUUCUCCGCGUAUUUUCAAACUUGAACUCAGCCUCCCAGUUCCCAGCCAAAGAACAAUCUUAUCUCUUCACAUAGAAAAUAUGAUAUCACCCUCAAUUUCUGCUUCCACCUAUACAAACCUAUCUACACUUACCUCUAUUUUGUCCUGCUUCCUUCUGCUUAAGCAUAGGUACUUGGGGACUGUUUCCUCUCACAUUCAAAGAAAUCUUUUCUUAUGUGAGUUCUCCAUUAUCUCCUAUCUAUUCGUCAACAUUCUCACAUUAAGAUCCUAAUUGUUCCAAGGAAAAUGUUUCUGCUUUUUUAGCUUUAUGGAUUUUCUACGUUGAUUCAUUUUCAUGUAAAUAGAAAGUGUGGGCUAAACUUUUAUCUACCUUAUUGAAUAUUAAGUAAACUAAAAUGCUUAAAAAGCGAUUUUUCAUACCGAAGAACUAAACUUUUCUCUGUACUUGGACACUUUGAUAAAUCAUAAUUGGUAGUUUACAGAUGGGAAGCUUACUUGCAAAUGUUCUAAAGAUGAAUGCUUCCUUUUGUAUGACAUUUUGAUAUAAAUUAAGAUCCAUGUGUUUCAUAUAUUGCUGAAAAAAAAAUAGUGUUAAAACAAUACUUCCUCUGCUGAAUAUAUGUGAAACUAUAUCUUUGAUUAGUGAUUCUGUCUCCUCUUCCACAGCAAAAAAUAACCCUCAAAUUUCUGUAAUUCUUUCCUGCUUCCUUUGCUUCUGCUAUGAAUGUUUUCUUAUGACACUGGAAAAAGUUUUAGUAGCUAACUAUAUAUAUUCACAUACAUACAUAUGUGUGUAUAUGUAUAUCUAUAUAUAUGUGCAUAUCAUGUGUACAUAUUUAUACAUACACAUUUAUAUCACAAUGACAGUAGAUAUAGCAUUAUAUGGCUCCUCUCCCACCUGUUAUUUUAGGAGCAGCUGUAAUUCUUAAAUAAGCGUUUAUUCUAUUGAUGUCCCCAGAGGUUGUCCCCAUUUGCGCCCAGGAACUCAUUCCUUACCCGUAAUGUAGCAUCUGCUGCUAUUUUUGUUUCUUAUUUUUCCUGUGAGGAGAUGCUGCAGGAACUACAGACCCAGGAAAUCAACUGUUAUGACUGACUCUCAAUUAAAAUCAGUGCCUGCCUCUGAGCUAUUGAUGAUUCUAAAAAGUACAGCAUCCACUACCAUUACUUCCUUAUGUAUAAGGUAGGCUAUUGAUCCUACUGCCAUGUGCGGUAGUACUGAUUCUCACAAGUUUUGGUGCUAUUUCCCAGCUCUGCACAUGCCACAGUAAUUAUCAGCAUUUGCCUUAAUAUAUGUUGGGUUGUCCCUUGAAAUGAGAAUUCUCAUCUUCCCAUUUACUAUCUACUAAAAAUCCAGGCCAACAUCUGGCCCUUCUUGGCAUAGAUUGGGAUUCAAAGGGCCUACCAUGUAUGAAGCAGAUUAUUGAUUUUGGAGUAAGAAAGAUCAAUGGGAGUAUAUCCUGAUCUCAAGAGUUUUACUACACAUCAUGGGAAGGAGAUGUGUGAACAACUAUGUGGCCAUGGCUCUAAUGGAAAAAUGUAGAAAGUUCUGAAAGCACAAAAGAAGAGAUAUCUUAUUCUGUCUGAGCAUUACAGUUUGUCACAGAAGAGAAAGUCUUUCACUGGGUUUUAGAUGGUGGAAUAAAUUCACUCAAGAGAGAAAAAAAAGGAAAGAAAUCCCAAGCAUAGAAUUGUAUGAGCAAAAGGAGUAAGCAUGAACAUUUAUUCUAAUUCUGGGAAUCACAAAAUACUCCCAACGGCAUUAGAGUAGAGGUUAAAAAUCUCAAAUGUCUCUAUGGGUCAGGAGGUACCAAAGUCAAACCAUCUAGAUGUUGGGAUGUAGAAAGAGAUUUUAGUCACAUGCCACAUGAUAACAUUUUGGUCAAUAAUAGAGCAUGUAUAUGAUGGUGGUAAUACCAUGUUCUUACUGUGUUUUUCUAUGCUUAGAUAUGUUUAGAUGCCACCUUAAAUUCACUUAACUUAUAAAUUGGUUAAGAUUAGAGUCAAUUUUGAUAUAUGUAGCAGAUUAAACAUGACCACAAAUUGUUUGCAGCUUCUCCCCUGGAGUUAUGGAGACCAUUUUUUCAUACCCUUGAAUCUGGGCUGCUUUUGCAACUUGCUUCGAUCAACAGAAUCUGAUGAAAGUGAUGUGGUAGUUCUGAGCCUAAACCUCAAAACUCUUUACAACUUCAGUUCUUGUCUUCUUCAAACACUGAAACUACCAUGUGAAGAUUGCAGACCUAGCCAUGCUGAGGAUAAGAGACCCUGUUGCAAGAGGGGUACCUGAAGAAAACCGACAGCAAUCAUCAGGACUGUGACAGGCCAUCUUCGCCCACCCUAGCUCCUAAUGGCACAUGAGUGCCAGCAGGCAAAUGAGUGACCCCAGACAUGACCAGGAGAAGAAUUUCACCUCUGAGCUCAGACAAAAUUGCUGACCAUAGAAUCAUGGGCUAAUCAGUUUACUGUUAUUUUGAGCUACUAUGUUUUGGGGUUGGUUGAUUAUGCAGCAAACGGUAACUAAUAUGUACAAAAGCAAACAUAUAGACAAGGCCAGAAAAAUUUGGUUUAAUAAAGGGAAUAAUUUAAAAGUGUUUUGUAUGUUAAUACACUGUUUGCAGUUUCCCUGGAGGUGUACAUUGGUCCAACUCUAAUGCUGAUAAUACCAUCAUCAAAAUCAAGCCAUCGUACCUCAGUCAAGCUCUUGUCUGUGCAAUAUUCAAAUGGUUGGGUUGAAGAUAUUUAACCCUUUGUUUUAAAAGGGUUAUUGGAAGUUUUGCAAAGAGUUGAGAAGAAUCAAAUCCACAAAAUAAUUAAACUUGCUACUAGAAAAAUCAGGUACUUACGUGUAAAUUUUCAGGUGCUUUCUAAUUUAAAUUUUAUUUUCAUCAUAGUAGUAGAUGUACACAUACAUUUUUCACUCCUACCAUUUCUGUUCCACUUCUCAGAGCCAACCACACUUAAGUCUUUUAGCUCUUUCUCCCAUUUACUUUUAUGCCUUCGGAGAGCAUAGUUAAAAGUGAUACAUUUUGAUGUUUCAAUUUUAGAUAGUAUCUCUUGAUUUCUUAUCAUGGCUGAAGAGGAUGUAGCAGCCAUACAUAUAUCACCACUCCAGCUAUACAUACUUCCCCUUUCCCCUUUUCCUGCAUAUAGUGCUUUAAAUUUAAUUAAUAUUCAGCAUUGAUUUAUGAUUACAACAUAAAUAAAUAUUCUUCAAAGUAAAG